rnacentral:rRNA from 1 species
AUUGAACGCUGGCGGAAUGCUUUACACAUGCAAGUCGAGCGGCAGCGCGGGGGCAACCCUGGCGGCGAGCGGCGAACGGGUGAGUAACAUAUCGGAACGUACCCCGUCGUGGGGGAUAACACAGCGAAAGCUGUGCUAAUACCGCAUACGACCUGAGGGUGAAAGCGGGGGAUCGCAAGACCUCGCGCGAUGGGAGCGGCCGAUAUCGGAUUAGCUUGUUGGUGAGGUAAAGGCUCACCAAGGCGACGAUCCGUAGCUGGUCUGAGAGGACGACCAGCCACACUGGAACUGAGACACGGUCCAGACUCCUACGGGAGGCAGCAGUGGGGAAUUUUGGACAAUGGGGGCAACCCUGAUCCAGCCAUUCCGCGUGAGUGAAGAAGGCCUUCGGGUUGUAAAGCUCUGUCUUCAGGGACGAUAAUGACGGUACCUGAGGAGGAA